UGGUCCUACGGGGGGCAGCAGUGGGGGAUAUUGCACAAUGGGGGGAACCCUGAUGCAGCGACGCCGCGUGGGUGAAGAAGUAUUUCGGUAUGUAAAGCCCUAUCGGCAGGGAAGAAUUUAGACGGUACCUGACUAAGAAGCCCCGGCUAACUACGUGCCAGCAGCCGCGGUAAUACGUAGGGGGCAAGCGUUAUCCGGAUUUACUGGGUGUAAAGGGAGCGCAGGCGGCACGGCAAGCCUGAUGUGAAAGCCCGCGGCCCAACCGCGGGACUGCAUUGGGAACUACCGGGCUGG
rnacentral:rRNA from 1 species